CAGCCGCCGCGGGAAUACGAAGGGUGCAAGCGUUACUCGGAAUUACUGGGCGUAAAGCGUGCGUAGGUGGUGGUUUAAGUCCGUUGUGAAAGCCCUGGGCUCAACCUGGGAAUUGCAGUGGAUACUGGGUCACUAGAGUGUGGUAGAGGAUAGUGGAAUUUCCGGUGUAGCAGUGAAAUGCGUAGAGAUCGGAAGGAACAUCUGUGGCGAAGGCGACUAUCUGGGCCAACACUGACACUGAGGUGCGAAAGCGUGGGGAGCAAACAGGAUUAGAUACCCCGGUAGUCCCUGUCUCUUAUAC
rnacentral:rRNA from 1 species